GAUCCUGGCUCAGGACGAACGCUGGCGGCGUGCUUAACACAUGCAAGUCGAACGGAAAGGCUCCAGCUUGCUGGAGUACUCGAGUGGCGAACGGGUGAGUAACACGUGGGUAAUCUGCCCUGCACUCUGGGAUAAGCCUGGGAAACUGGGUCUAAUACUGGAUAUGACCUUUCUCCUUAUGGGGUUUGGUGGAAAGUUUUUCGGUGUAGGAUGAGCCCGCGGCCUAUCAGCUUGUUGGUGGGGUGAUGG
rnacentral:rRNA from 1 species